rnacentral:rRNA from 1 species
CCGCGUGCAGGAUGAAGGCUUUCGGGUCGUAAACUGCUUUUAUAGAGGAAGAUUAUGGCGGUACUCUAUGAAUAAGGACCGGCUAACUACGUGC